GGAGAAAAGUAGGGGAUCGCAAGACCUUGUGCUUUUGGAGCGGCCGAUGCCUGAUUAGCUAGUUGGUGGGGUAAAGGCCUACCAAGGCGUCGAUCAGUAGUUGGUCUGAGAGGACGACCAGCCACACUGGGACUGAGACACGGCCCAGACUCCUACGGGAGGCAGCAGUGGGGAAUUUUGGACAAUGGGCGCAAGCCUGAUCCAGCAAUGCCGCGUGAGUGAAGAAGGCCUUCGGGUUGUAAAGCUCUUUCAGUCGAGAAGAAAAGGUUGCGACUAAUAAUCGCAAUUCAUGACGGUACCGACAGAAGAAGCACCGGCUAACUACGUGCCAGCAGCCGCGGUAAUACGUAGGGUGCAAGCGUUAAUCGGAAUUACUGGGCGUAAAGGGUGCGCAGGCGGCUCUGUAAGUCAGAUGUGAAAUCCCCGGGCUUAACCUGGGAACUGCGUUUGAAACUACAAAGCUAG
rnacentral:rRNA from 1 species